AUAACCGGCGAUUUCCGAAUGGGGAAACCCAGUGUGUUUCGACACACUAUCAUUAACUGAAUCCAUAGGUUAAUGAGGCGAACCGGGGGAACUGAAACAUCUAAGUACCCCGAGGAAAAGAAAUCAACCGAGAUUCCCCCAGUAGCGGCGAGCGAACGGGGAGCAGCCCAGAGCCUGAAUCAGUGUGUGUGUUAGUGGAAGCGUCUGGAAAGGCGUGCGAUACAGGGUGACAGCCCCGUACACAAAAAUGCACAUGCUGUGAGCUCGAUGAGUAGGGCGGGACACGUGGUAUCCUGUCUGAAUAUGGGGGGACCAUCCUCCAAGGCUAAAUACUCCUGACUGACCGAUAGUGAACCAGUACCGUGAGGGAAAGGCGAAAAGAACCCCGGCGAGGGGAGUGAAAAAGAACCUGAAACCGUGUACGUACAAGCAGUGGGAGCACGCUUAGGCGUGUGACUGCGUACCUUUUGUAUAAUGGGUCAGCGACUUAUAUUCUGUAGCAAGGUUAACCGAAUAGGGGAGCCGAAGGGAAACCGAGUCUUAACUGGGCGUUAAGUUGCAGGGUAUAGACCCGAAACCCGGUGAUCUAGCCAUGGGCAGGUUGAAGGUUGGGUAACACUAACUGGAGGACCGAACCGACUAAUGUUGAAAAAUUAGCGGAUGACUUGUGGCUGGGGGUGAAAGGCCAAUCAAACCGGGAGAUAGCUGGUUCUCCCCGAAAGCUAUUUAGGUAGCGCCUCGUGAAUUCAUCUCCGGGGGUAGAGCACUGUUUCGGCAAGGGGGUCAUCCCGACUUACCAACCCGAUGCAAACUGCGAAUACCGGAGAAUGUUAUCACGGGAGACACACGGCGGGUGCUAACGUCCGUCGUGAAGAGGGAAACAACCCAGACCGCCAGCUAAGGUCCCAAAGUCAUGGUUAAGUGGGAAACGAUGUGGGAAGGCCCAGACAGCCAGGAUGUUGGCUUAGAAGCAGCCAUCAUUUAAAGAAAGCGUAAUAGCUCACUGGUCGAGUCGGCCUGCGCGGAAGAUGUAACGGGGCUAAACCAUGCACCGAAGCUGCGGCAGCGACGCUGAUGCGUUGUUGGGUAGGGGAGCGUUCUGUAAGCCUGCGAAGGUGUGCUGUGAGGCAUGCUGGAGGUAUCAGAAGUGCGAAUGCUGACAUAAGUAACGAUAAAGCGGGUGAAAAGCCCGCUCGCCGGAAGACCAAGGGUUCCUGUCCAACGUUAAUCGGGGCAGGGUGAGUCGACCCCUAAGGCGAGGCCGAAAGGCGUAGUCGAUGGGAAACAGGUUAAUAUUCCUGUGCUUGGUGUUACUGCGAAGGGGGGACGGAGAAGGCUAUGUUGGCCGGGCGACGGUUGUCCCGGUUUAAGCGUGUAGGCUGGUUUUCCAGGCAAAUCCGGAAAAUCAAGGCUGAGGCGUGAUGACGAGGCACUACGGUGCUGAAGCAACAAAUGCCCUGCUUCCAGGAAAAGCCUCUAAGCAUCAGGUAACAUCAAAUCGUACCCCAAACCGACACAGGUGGUCAGGUAGAGAAUACCAAGGCGCUUGAGAGAACUCGGGUGAAGGAACUAGGCAAAAUGGUGCCGUAACUUCGGGAGAAGGCACGCUGAUAUGUAGGUGAAGUCCCUCGCGGAUGGAGCUGAAAUCAGUCGAAGAUACCAGCUGGCUGCAACUGUUUAUUAAAAACACAGCACUGUGCAAACACGAAAGUGGACGUAUACGGUGUGACGCCUGCCCGGUGCCGGAAGGUUAAUUGAUGGGGUCAGCGCAAGCGAAGCUCUUGAUCGAAGCCCCGGUAAACGGCGGCCGUAACUAUAACGGUCCUAAGGUAGCGAAAUUCCUUGUCGGGUAAGUUCCGACCUGCACGAAUGGCGUAAUGAUGGCCAGGCUGUCUCCACCCGAGACU
rnacentral:rRNA from 1 species